rnacentral:rRNA from 1 species
GUGAACGCUGGCGGUAGGCCUAACACCUGCAAGUCGAACGGCAGCACAGUAAGAGCUUGCUCUUACGGGUGGCGAGUGGCGGACGGGUGAGGAAUACAUCGGAAUCUACUUUUUCGUGGGGGAUAACGUAGGGAAACUUACGCUAAUACCGCAUACGACCUACGGGUGAAAGCAGGGGAUCUUCGGACCUUGCGCGAUUGAAUGAGCCGAUGUCGGAUUAGCUAGUUGGCGGGGUAAAGGCCCACCAAGGCGACGAUCCGUAGCUGGUCUGAGAGGAUGAUCAGCCACACUGGAACUGAGACACGGUCCAGACUCCUACGGGAGGCAGCAGUGGGGAAUAUUGGACAAUGGGCGCAAGCCUGAUCCAGCCAUACCGCGUGGGUGAAGAAGGCCUUCGGGUUGUAAAGCCCUUUUGUUGGGAAAGAAAAGCAGCAGGUUAAUACCCCGCUGUUCCGACGGUACCCAAAGAAUAAGCACCGGCUAACUUCGUG